UCGUUUGUUUAGUGAUGUCUGAGUACUAUGUAAUAGUUAAAACUUUCAACAACGGAUCUCUUGGUUCUGGCAUCGAUGAAGAACGCAGCGAAAUGCGAUAAGUAAUGUGAAUUGCAGAAUUCAGUGAAUCAUCGAAUCUUUGAACGCACAUUGCGCCCCUUGGUAUUCCGAGGGGCAUGCCUGUUCGAGCGUCAUUAUAACCACUCAAGCCUCGGCUUGGUCUUGGGGUUCGCGGUCUCGCGUCCCUUAAAAUCAGUGGCGGUGCCGUCUGGCUCUAAGCGUAGUAAUUCUCUCGCUAUAGGGUCCCGGCGGUUGCCUGCCAGAACCCCCCCAUUUUUUACGGUUGACCUCGGAUCAGGUAGGGAUACCCGCUG
rnacentral:misc_RNA from 1 species